GAUCCUGGCUCAGGAUGAACGCUGGCGGCGUGCCUAACACAUGCAAGUCGAGCGAAGCGUUUUAAAGGAAGUUUUCGGAUGGAAUUUGAAAUGACUGAGCGGCGGACGGGUGAGUAACGCGUGGGUAACCUGCCUCAUACAGGGGGAUAACAGUUAGAGAUGACUGCUAAUACCGCAUAAGCACACAGUACCGCAUGGUACAGAGUGAAAAACUCCGGUGGUAUGAGAUGGACCCGGCGU
rnacentral:rRNA from 1 species